rnacentral:rRNA from 1 species
AGAAUCAACGCUGGCGGCGUGCCUAACACAUGCAAGUCGAACGAGAAAGUGGAGCAAUCCAUGAGUAAAGUGGCGCACGGGUGAGUAACACGUGACUAACCUACCCUUGAGUGGGGGAUAACCUAGAGAAAUCUGGGCUAAUACCGCAUAAUACCUUCGGGUCAAAGGAGCAAUUCGCUUAAGGAGGGGGUCGCGGCCGAUUAGUUAGUUGGCGGGGUAAUGGCCCACCAAGACUGUGAUCGGUAUCCGGCCUGAGAGGGCGCACGGACACACUGGAACUGAAACACGGUCCAGACUCCUACGGGAGGCAGCAGUGGGGAAUUUUGCGCAAUGGGGGAAACCCUGACGCAGCAACGCCGCGUGGAGGAUGAAGUCCCUUGGGACGUAAACUCCUUUCGAUCGGGACGAUUAUGACGGUACCGGAAGAAGAACGCCCCGGCUAACUUCGCGCCAGCAGCCGC